AUUGAUGCGAAUCAAUGGCACAACUCAGUCCUCAGUUGCAAGCCACCUUGCUGAAUCGAUUGCAGGAGCCAUGACAAUCAGAGCUUUUGGGCUGGAAGACCGAUUCUUUUUGAAGAAUCUGGACCUCAUUGACAGAAAUGCAAGUCCAUACUUUCACAAUUUUUCUGCAAGCGAGUGGUUCAUCCUCCGUUUGGAAAUUUUAUGUGCAAUUGUUCUCUCAUCUACAACACUUGCCAUGGCUUUGCUUCAAGUUGGAUCCUCCUCCUCUGGGAUUAUUGGAAUGGAGAUGUCAUAUGGCCUUUCAUUAAACAUAUUCCUUGUCGUUUCCCUCCAGCUCCAAUGCUUGCUGGCUAAUCUAAUUGUUUCUGUAGAGAGGCUGGAACAAUAUAUGCAUAUUCCUAGUGAAGCUCCUGAAAUAAUAGAG
rnacentral:misc_RNA from 1 species